GGACCGGUAGCUCAGCGGCAGAGCAGGCGAGUUGUAAUCGUCAGCGCGGAAGGUUCAACUCCUUCCCUGGUCCUCCA
rnacentral:tRNA from 2 species